rnacentral:sRNA from 1 species
ACCUUCCAGGUUGCAGCCUGAUUUAGGCUGAUGGCUGAUGGCUGGUGGCUUUUGGGUCACCAGCCU